rnacentral:rRNA from 1 species
UGGAUCCAGACUUUGAUCAUGGCUCAGGACGAACGCUGGCGGCGCGCCUAACACAUGCAAGUCGAACGGAGAUUACAGGCGGAAGUUUUCGGAUGGAAGCUUGUAAACUUAGUGGCGGACGGGUGAGUAACACGUGAGCAACCUGCCUAUCAGAGGGGGAUAACGAUUGGAAACGAUCGCUAAUACCGCAUGACAUAGCGGAACCGCAUGGUUCUGUUAUCAAAGAUUUUAUCGCUGAUAGAUGGGCUCGCGUCCGAUUAGAUAGUUGGUGGGGUAACGGCCUACCAAGUCGACGAUCGGUAGCCGGACUGAGAGGUCGAACGGCCACAUUGGGACUGAGACACGGCCCAGACUCCUACGGGAGGCAGCAGUGGGGGAUAUUGCACAAUGGGGGAAACCCUGAUGCAGCGACGCCGCGUGAGGGAAGACGGUCCUCUGGAUUGUAAACCUCUGUCUUCGGGGACGAAACGAGACGGUACCCGAGGAGGAAGCCACGGCUAACUACGUGCCAGCAGCCGCGGUAAUACGUAGGUGGCAAGCGUUGUCCGGAAUUACUGGGUGUAAAGGGAGCGUAGGCGGGCAGGCAAGUCAGGCGUGAAAUAUAUCGGCUCAACCGGUAACGGCGCUUGAAACUGCAGGUCUUGAGUGAAGUAGAGGUUGGCGGAAUUCCUAGUGUAGCGGUGAAAUGCGUAGAUAUUAGGAGGAACACCAGUGGCGAAGGCGGCCAACUGGGCUUUUACUGACGCUGAGGCUCGAAAGUGUGGGGAGCAAACAGGAUUAGAUACCCUGGUAGUCCACACCGUAAACGAUGAUUACUAGGUGUGGGGGGACUGACCCCUUCCGUGCCGGAGUUAACACAAUAAGUAAUCCACCUGGGGAGUACGGCCGCAAGGUUGCAACUCAAAGGAAUUGACGGA